CAAAGACUCAAGAUAUUCUUUCACUGCAACUUCUCAUUAUUGGAAUUGAGUCUGUCCUUGUUUUUCUAGUGUCUUCGGAGAAGUGCUACUCUAAAUAAAAGGAUUUUCCAAGUCACCAAAAAGUGUACUCCUUCAAGCACAAAAGGUUUUCAUCACUUUUAGAUAUCUUGGAUCCUGGAAGUCUUUGUAAAAUCGCUGUGCCUUGUUUUAUAAAACAGCAAACGCAUAAGAUAAUGAGGGUCUGCUUUUCUGUGUGUGUUCCUAUCUCCAGGCUGGUGGUAAUAUGGCUGGCAGAGUUCCACACCUUACAUUCAUAUACCGUGAUAUCCAGGGAUUUGGUUUCCUCGCUCCAGGAAACUGUGGAGGGUGGAAGUUGAGUAAAAGAAGAAGAGCCAGACCACAAGAUCCAGGACCUGAGCCUGAAUAGCAGUUGCUGUGAGGCCCAUGAGUCUCUUGGACACAGCUUGAGGGGAGUUGUGUCCCUAGAAUAAAGAAUGUGGUCAGAGACA
rnacentral:lncRNA from 1 species